GCUUCCAAGUGCAGUUCGAGAGUGUGAAAACGAAAUAUUUCCUGCUGACACAUUCGGCGAGUUCGUGAAUGAAAUGUGCAGUAAAGAAAGAAAAGCGGAUUUACAGGAACUCAAAGAA